UGCUCAUGUUGGUUACCAUUCACGAGACCAUAACAAGGACCUGCUGCCAGCCAUCAUGUCCUGGUCCUGACCUGCCUUUGGGAGGCUGACUCAGCCGUCUAGGUUGGCGAGCGGGUUCCUGCUUCUGGUCACCAGCCACGAUGGUGCAGUGACCAGCCACCAUGGUGCAUGCAUGGAUGGGACCCGUCUUCUAAAGCAGCACAGGUUCGGAGGUGCCAGUUAGCUUGCCAGUAUCCAUUCAAAUGUUAUGACUGGCAGUGCAAGGACCAAGUCUGCAAUAGACGCUCAUUGGCGUACCAGCCAAAUGUGGUACGCGUCCAGCAGAA